UACAGAGGUCUCGAGCGUUGUUCGGAUUCAUUGGGCGUAAAGGGUGCGUAGGUGGCGCUGUAAGUCAGGUGUGAAAUUUCGGAGCUUAACUCCCGAAACUGCAUUUGAUACUGCGGUGCUUGAGGACUGGAGAGGAGACUGGAAUUACGGUGUAGCAGUGAAAUGCGUAGAGAUCGUAAGGAAGACCAGUGGCGAAGGCGG
rnacentral:rRNA from 1 species